rnacentral:rRNA from 1 species
CCCUUAGAUGUUCUGGGCCGCACGCGCGCUACACUGAUGCAUUCAACAAGUUUUACCUUGGCCGAGAGGCCUGGGAAAUCAUUCAAAUAUGUAUCGUGAUAGGGAUAGAUUAUUGCAAUUAUUAAUCUUGAACGAGGAAUUCCUAGUAAAUGCAGAUCAUCAUUCUGCGUUGAUUACGUCCCUGCCCUUUGUACACACCGCCCGUUGCACCUACCGAUUGAAUGAUCCGGUGAAGCCUCGGGAUUGUGCCCAGAGAACUUUAUUGUGAUUUGGGUGUGAGAACUUGUCUAAACCUUAUCAUUUAGAGGAAGGUGAAGUCGUAACA